rnacentral:lncRNA from 1 species
CUGGGAACUGCUGGGUCCCGAUCCAGGUCGGCUCCGCAGAGGCCAGAGCAAGCUUGCGGGGAAACCAGUUAUGCGGGUCGAGCCGGGUAAGCCCUUUCCAGAAUGACCAGUAUUGGGAUUCUGACCAUAGCUCGGACUGCGGCGGAGGGGGGAGCUCGACCAGGGCGAACCCAUAUUGCUUUAUUGGAGAAGGUGUCCAGGGACGCAUGAUCUCGGAUCUUCAUCCAUCCCUUCCUUCCACCCUGAACUUGAUUCUCAUCUGCCUGCUCUGCUUUUCCUUCCGUUCAGUCUUCCUCCUCCCUUUAAUUCCCUCACUCGCAGAUUCCCUCGUAUAGCCAUUCACACCUCCCUCACCCCCCCCCCCCCCAUUACUUAAACAAACAUUUCCUGAGGCUUCUGGUGUGCCAGCCCUGGUGCUGGGCCAUGGUGGUGACCAAGAUGAGUCAAGCUCAGGCCCUGCCCUUCAGGAGCCCCAGUCAGAUGGGAGGAAGGACAUUGAUGGGCAGGGUGUGAAGUGGUGGGGCAGCCCAGGAGAGCCUUUUGGGGGGCGGGGGUUUGACUUGUCUGGAAAGGAUUCCCAGAGGAGGAGCCAUUGGAGUUGGAUCUUGGGAGAGCAGGAGGUGCCAGGCAAAGGUGAAGAGGGUGUGGGAAGGAUGUUUUAGUCUGUGCAAAGGCAGGGAGGUGUGCAGGAUCAUUAGGUGCCCAAGCAGAAGGCCAGUCAUGACCUCUAGCAAGGGAACUGUAAGGCUGGAAUAGGAUGAGGAUGAGGCAGUGGGCAGAGGUCAGGCUGGG